rnacentral:pre_miRNA from 15 species
GACUCUGACCAGUCGCCGCGGGGCUUUCCUUUGUGCUUGAUCUAACCAUGUGGUGGAACGAUGGAAACGGAACAUGGUUCUGUCAAGCACCGCGGAAAGCACUGUGCUCUCCUGCAGCAUGGCC